UAUGUUAUUAUUCUUCGUUGGUUCGUUAAAAAUGGAUAAAUAAAAACUUUGCAUACAAGAAUUAAUAAAAAUGUUAUAACGAAUUUAAUUAAAUGUUUUAUCAUUAUAUAUAAAGAAUUUAUGGCAAGAUAAAGUUAUAUACAACCUCAACUCAUAUGGGACUACCCCCUGAAUUUAAGCAUAUUAAUUAGGGGAGGAAAAGAAACUAACAAGGAUUUUCUUAGUAGCGGCGAGCGAAAAGAAAACAGUUCAGCACUAAGUCACUUUGUCUAUAUGGCAAAUGUGAGAUGCAGUGUAUGGAGCGUCAAUAUUCUAGUAUGAGAAAUUAACGAUUUAAGUCCUUCUUAAAUGAGGCCAUUUACCCAUAGAGGGUGCCAGGCCCGUAUAACGUUAAUGAUUACUAGAUGAUGUUUCCAAAGAGUCGUGUUGCUUGAUAGUGCAGCACUAAGUGGGUGGUAAACUCCAUCUAAAACUAAAUAUAACCAUGAGACCGAUAGUAAACAAGUACCGUGAGGGAAAGUUGAAAAGAACUCUGAAUAGAGAGUUAAACAGUACGUGAAACUGCUUAGAGGUUAAGCCCGAUGAACCUGAAUAUCCGUUAUGGAAAAUUCAUCAUUAAAAUUGUAAUAUUUAAAUAAUAUUAUGAGAAUAGUGUGCAUUUUUUCCAUAUAAGGACAUUGUAAUCUAUUAGCAUAUACCAAAUUUAUCAUAAAAUAUAACUUAUAGUUUAUUCCAAUUAAAUUGCUUGCAUUUUAACACAGAAUAAAUGUUAUUAAUUUGAUAAAGUGCUGAUAGAUUUAUAUGAUUACAGUGCGUUAAUUUUUCGGAAUUAUAUAAUGGCAUAAUUAUCAUUGAUUUUUGUGUUUAUUAUAUGCACUUGUAUGAUUAACAAUGCGAAAGAUUCAGGAUACCUUCGGGACCCGUCUUGAAACACGGACCAAGGAGUCUAACAUAUGUGCAAGUUAUUGGGAUAUAAACCUAAUAGCGUAAUUAACUUGACUAAUAAUGGGAUUAGUUUUUUAGCUAUUUAUAGCUAAUUAACACAAUCCCGGGGCGUUCUAUAUAGUUAUGUAUAAUGUAUAUUUAUAUUAUUUAUGCCUCUAACUGGAACGUACCUUGAGCAUAUAUGCUGUGACCCGAAAGAUGGUGAACUAUACUUGAUCAGGUUGAAGUCAGGGGAAACCCUGAUGGAAGACCGAAACAGUUCUGACGUGCAAAUCGAUUGUCAGAAUUGAGUAUAGGGGCGAAAGACCAAUCGAACCAUCUAGUAGCUGGUUCCUUCCGAAGUUUCCCUCAGGAUAGCUGGUGCAUUUUAAUAUUAUAUAAAAUAAUCUUAUCUGGUAAAGCGAAUGAUUAGAGGCCUUAGGGUCGAAACGAUCUUAACCUAUUCUCAAACUUUAAAUGGGUAAGAACCUUAACUUUCUUGAUAUGAAGUUCAAGGUUAUGAUAUAAUGUGCCCAGUGGGCCACUUUUGGUAAGCAGAACUGGCGCUGUGGGAUGAACCAAACGUAAUGUUACGGUGCCCAAAUUAACAACUCAUGCAGAUACCAUGAAAGGCGUUGGUUGCUUAAAACAGCAGGACGGUGAUCAUGGAAGUCGAAAUCCGCUAAGGAGUGUGUAACAACUCACCUGCCGAAGCAACUAGCCCUUAAAAUGGAUGGCGCUUAAGUUGUAUACCUAUACAUUACCGCUAAAGUAGAUGAUUUAUAUUACUUGUGAUAUAAAUUUUGAAACUUUAGUGAGUAGGAAGGUACAAUGGUAUGCGUAGAAGUGUUUGGCGUAAGCCUGCAUGGAGCUGCCAUUGGUACAGAUCUUGGUGGUAGUAGCAAAUAAUCGAAUGAGACCUUGGAGGACUGAAGUGGAGAAGGGUUUCGUGUGAACAGUGGUUGAUCACGAGUUAGUCGGUCCUAAGUUCAAGGCGAAAGCCGAAAAUUUUCAAGUAAAACAAAAAUGCCUAACUAUAUAAACAAAGCGAAUUAUAAUACACUUGAAUAAUUUUGAACGAAAGGGAAUACGGUUCCAAUUCCGUAACCUGUUGAGUAUCCGUUUGUUAUUAAAUAUGGGCCUCGUGCUCAUCCUGGCAACAGGAACGACCAUAAAGAAGCCGUCGAGAGAUAUCGGAAGAGUUUUCUUUUCUGUUUUAUAGCCGUACUACCAUGGAAGUCUUUCGCAGAGAGAUAUGGUAGAUGGGCUAGAAGAGCAUGACAUAUACUGUUGUGUCGAUAUUUUCUCCUCGGACCUUGAAAAUUUAUGGUGGGGACACGCAAACUUCUCAACAGGCCGUACCAAUAUCCGCAGCUGGUCUCCAAGGUGAAGAGUCUCUAGUCGAUAGAAUAAUGUAGGUAAGGGAAGUCGGCAAAUUAGAUCCGUAACUUCGGGAUAAGGAUUGGCUCUGAAGAUUGAGAUAGUCGGGCUUGAUUGGGAAACAAUAACAUGGUUUAUGUGCUCGUUCUGGGUAAAUAGAGUUUCUAGCAUUUAUGUUAGUUACUUGUUCCCCGGAUAGUUUAGUUACGUAGCCAAUUGUGGAACUUUCUUGCUAAAAUUUUUAAGAAUACUAUUUGGGUUAAACCAAUUAGUUCUUAUUAAUUAUAACGAUUAUCAAUUAACAAUCAAUUCAGAACUGGCACGGACUUGGGGAAUCCGACUGUCUAAUUAAAACAAAGCAUUGUGAUGGCCCUAGCGGGUGUUGACACAAUGUGAUUUCUGCCCAGUGCUCUGAAUGUCAAAGUGAAGAAAUUCAAGUAAGCCGGGUCAACGCGGAGUAACUAUGACUCUCUUAAGGUAAGCAAAUGUCGAUCUAAAAGUGACGCCAUAAGGAUUAACGAGCAUCCUACUGCCGAUUGCUACAGCGAACCAUCAAAGCGGACGGCUUAGGAAAAUGAGCGAGAAAGAGAACACUUGAACUAACUACAUAACGCGCCAGUCGAAGCAGACAUACAAGGGAAAUAAUUUGCGGAGCAACUAACGCGGGUAUAGCCCCGUAGAAUGCCAUUCCAAAUGGAGAGCCCAAGAGUUGCAAACUAUCAUUGAUAGGGCACAUCUCGAGGGAAAGGAAACCACUCUCCAAUGCUUAUCGCUAUAUCUCCUGGGAUUUUUCCGGCACAGGGUGUACGACACACACUGACGAGACCUCCUCGGAGACCUCGGAACAGGAGAGAAAGCAGAAGGCAGCAGUACGCUGUCGUCCAGCGUAACUGGGAUAAGCAUAAAGGAAGAUGCAUCAAGUCCUUGCUAAAUGGAACUGAUGAGUCGGUAAUGCCAAGCCAAGAAAUAAUGGUUCCCUACUGGAGAGAAGUAAUGACUCAGCCUAGCCCAAGCUCUUGCAGUGGAGAAGUGAUACAAAUGGAUCACUCGCUUGAGAGGGUAUGGUCUGCUAUUACAGAGCAGGACCUUCGGGCGUCAAGAGUCUCAUUAUCCUCGUCUCCGGGGCCUGACGGGAUAACUCCAAAAUCUGCCAGGGAGGUGCCGUCAGGUAUUAUGCUGCGCAUAAUGAACCUAAUUCUAUGGUGCGGUAAUCUACCACACUCUAUACGACUGGCCAGAACCGUCUUCAUCCCGAAGACGGUGACGGCGAAGCGACCGCAAGACUUUCGUCCAAUAUCAGUGCCUUCAGUCCUGGUAAGACAGCUAAAUGCAAUAUUGGCAACCCGGUUGAACUCAUCAAUCAAUUGGGACCCGC
rnacentral:rRNA from 1 species